UCUGCAAGUAUCCGAUUUCAAAGGGGAGGCAUCCGGUGAGCCUGUUGCCUAAAAACAGGGCCUCGAUUAGUGUAUUCCAGGCUCGGCCAAUACUUCUUGGAAUUGAACCUGUGAGCUUGUUGUUGGCUAAAGUGAGAUAGAGUGCUGGAGUGUUGCCAAAGUUUGCAGGGAUUGUACGAUUGAACUGAUUAUUGUUGAUGAAAAGAACGUCAGUGUCAAUG
rnacentral:misc_RNA from 1 species